UUCCCGCCCUUUGACAUCCUCUUUUAAUCUAAAACUUUUGCCGCAAAAGCUAGCAAGGCUCUAUUACUAUACCCCCACCUGAGUCCUACCAGAUCCAUCUUGAUCUUGUUUUGCUGUUUGGAUUAGUUGUGUGAUAAAAUAAACUCAUCAAAACGAUUUUCUUAAAACUAAUCUGUCCGCCUGACCUAUCACAGACUCUACAGUGAGACUACUAGUUGAUGAAAUGGACAUUAUUGAUACUUGAGUGAGAAGGGGAACUUGGGGUUGCUUCAGAACAUCAACGACCUUAUCAAUCACUAACAUUACUUCAGAAAGCCCAAAAUAGCAUCCUCCUCAACCGCAUGAAUCCACAUUAUUGCAGCACUAAAGCUACCUGAUAACUUUUAACCAACAAAGGAACUCAAAGAUUAUCAAGAGAUCCCAUCUAUAUAAGAUUUAAAUCAUGAGGUCUUUGACAUCAUGUUUCCUCCUUUCAAAUAACUCUACAUGAUGAAAGUGUGUUCUGACUAUGCACAACACUUUUCAAUUCCUAAAUUGAAAUUGUCUUUGCAAUUCCAUUUCAUAACACCUGGGACACAACUUGCAAAGAGAGAUACCAUAGUUUAGGUCAAACAACGUUCUUGACGCACGCAAGCAUGUGACAGACAGCCCUUUCCAAUACCUUGAGUGGUUGCUUAGUGCUCAGGUUUC